rnacentral:rRNA from 1 species
AGCGAACGCUGGCGGCAGGCCUAACACAUGCAAGUCGAACGAACUCUUCGGAGUUAGUGGCGGACGGGUGAGUAACACGUGGGAACGUGCCUUUAGGUUCGGAAUAACUCAGGGAAACUUGUGCUAAUACCGAAUGUGCCCUUCGGGGGAAAGAUUUAUCGCCUUUAGAGCGGCCCGCGUCUGAUUAGCUAGUUGGUGGGGUAACGGAUCACCAAGGCGACGAUCAGUAGCUGGUCUGAGAGGAUGGCCAGCCACACUGGGACUGAGAACCGGCCCAGACGCCUACGGGAGGCAGCAGUGGGGAAUCUUGCGCAAUGGGCGAAAGCCUGACGCAGCCAUGCCGCGUGAAUGAUGAAGGUCUUAGGAUUGUAAAAUUCUUUCACCGGGGACGAUAAUGACGGUACCCGGAGAAGAAGCCCCGGCUAACUUCGUGCCAGCCGCCGCCGUAA